AAUGCUCCCAGUUAGCUUUUGUGUCUCUUAUUAUGUAAAACUUCAGCUAGCUUGUGUCUCUAGCCAUUUUAUGGAUAGGAGUUGGAUCCCAAAACCUUCUCACUUCUCGAGUUCAUUUAGUUUAGGAAAUUUCCAAAAACUUCUCACCAGGCAAAUAGCAAAAAAAAAAAUCAGCACCUGCACGGGCCAGGAUUUGAACCCAACACCUCAAGUUGUA
rnacentral:lncRNA from 1 species